rnacentral:rRNA from 1 species
GCCCGCGGGCCAAUGGGACCGGUGCCACCUCCGGGUGGUGCCGCUCAAUCGAACACCCAUAGGCGAAGACAACUCGAAGACGUAUGUCACGGGAUUACGGGUUCGGCAUUGGCGCAAGCCUUCGUCGGAUCCCUCCAUCCCAGGGUGCCCCGAUACGGGUGGGAGCGGGCCUCCGGGCGUCGUUCUACCCAGCGGGCAUACCCCGAGUGUGCAGGAUGCGACCCGAAAGAUGGUGAACUAUGCCUGAUCAGGUUGAAGUCAGGGGAAACCCUGAUGGAGGACCGAAGCAAUUCUGACGUGCAAAUCGAUUGUCAGAGUUGGGCAUAGGGGCGAAAGACCAAUCGAACCAUCUAGUAGCUCGUUCCUUCCGA